GGUAUAUAGCUCAGUGGUAGAGCACAUGCUUAGCAUGCAUGAGGUCCUGGGUUCGAUCCCCAGUACCACCA
rnacentral:tRNA from 1 species